UACGAAGGGGGCUAGCGUUGCUCGGAAUCACCGGGCGUAAAGCGCACGUAGGCGGAUUGCUAAGUCAGGGGUGAAAUCCUGGAGCUCAACUCCAGAACUGCCUUUGAUACUGGCGACCUUGAGUCCGGGAGAGGUGAGUGGAACUGCGAGUGUAGAGGUGAAAUUCGUAGAUAUUCUCAAGAACACCAGUGGCGAAGGCGGCUCACUGGCCCGGUACUGACGCUGAGGUGCGAAAGCGUGGGGAGCAAACAGG
rnacentral:rRNA from 1 species